CGAGAGAGAGCUUGCUUUCUCGAGCGAGUGGCGAACGGGUGAGUAACGCGUGAGGAACCUGCCUCAAAGAGGGGGACAACAGUUGGAAACGACUGCUAAUACCGCAUAAGCCCACGGCUCGGCAUCGAGCAGGGGGAAAAGGAGCAAUCCGCUUUGAGAUGGCCUCGCGUCCGAUUAGCUAGUUGGAGGGGUAACGGCCCACCAAGGCGACGAUCAGUAGCCGGUCUGAGAGGAUGAACGGCCACACUGGAACUGAGACACGGUCCAGACUCC
rnacentral:rRNA from 1 species